rnacentral:rRNA from 1 species
CAGCCGCCGCGGUAAUACGUAGGUGGCAAGCGUUGUCCGGAACUAUUGGGCGUAAAGGGCUCGCAGGCGGUUUCUUAAGUCUGAUGUGAAAGCCCCCGGCUCAACCGGGGAGGGUCAUUGGAAACUGGGAAACUUGAGUGCAGAAGAGGAGAGUGGAAUUCCACGUGUAGCGGUGAAAUGCGUAGAGAUGUGGAGGAACACCAGUGGCGAAGGCGACUCUCUGGUCUGUAACUGACGCUGAGGAGCGAAAGCGUGGGGAGCGAACAGGAUUAGAUACCCCGGUAGUCCCUGUCUCUUAUAC